UUGCUUGCUUCAGCAACACAUAUACUAUAAUUGGAACAAUACAGAGAAGAUCGUCAUGACCCCUGUGCAAAGAUGACAUGCAAAUUUGUGAAGUAUUUCAUAUUUUU
ensembl:snRNA U6 U6 spliceosomal RNA